AUUGGAAAAGGGCUGCAGGUGGAUCAGUGCUGCUUAAUCCAGGCAUGGGGGUCAGGAAGCAGAAAAAUGCAGACAGAAACUGAAGCUCCCUGGUGGAUGUCAUGGCAGAGAACCUGAGUGGGAUGCUGGAACACUGAGUUCAAACUCAGCCAGGUCUCUUAAAGGGGCAGUCACACCUUGCUGUCUGCUUGGGCUGAACUGUGACACAUACAAACACAAGGAUCAAUUACCUAG